UACGUAGGGUGCGAGCGUUGUCCGGAAUUAUUGGGCGUAAAGGGCUCGUAGGCGGUUUGUCGCGUCGGGAGUGAAAACACCGGGCUUAACUCGGUGCUUGCUUUCGAUACGGGCAGACUAGAGGUAUGCAGGGGAGAAUGGAAUUCCUGGUGUAGCGGUGAAAUGCGCAGAUAUCAGGAGGAACACCGGUGGCGAAGGCGGUUCUCUGGGCAUUGCCUGACGCUGAGGAGCGAAAGUGUGGGGAGCGAACAGG
rnacentral:rRNA from 1 species